rnacentral:rRNA from 1 species
GACAGAGGGGGCAAGCGUUGCUCGGAAUUACUGGGCGUAAAGGGCGCGUAGGCGGGAUGGCAAGUCGGUCGUGAAAUCCCUCGGCUCAACCGAGGAACGUCGAUCGAUACUGCUGUUCUUGAGGAUUGCAGAGGAGACUGGAAUUCCCGGUGUAGCGGUGAAAUGUGUAGAGAUCGGGAGGAACGACCGGUGGCGAAGGCGGGUCUCUGGGCAAUUCCUGACGGCUGAGGCGCGAAAGCGUGGGGAGCAAACGGGG